rnacentral:rRNA from 1 species
UACGGAGGGUGCAAGCGUUGUUCGGAAUUACUGGGCGUAAAGCGCGCGUAGGCGGUUAUGUAAGUCAGAUGUGAAAGCCCGCGGCUCAACCGUGGAAGUGCAUUUGAAACUGCAUGACUUGAGUACUGGAGGGGGUAGUGGAAUUCCCGGUGUAGAGGUGAAAUUCGUAGAUAUCGGGAGGAAUACCGGUGGCGAAGGCGACUGCCUGGCCAGAUACUGACGCUGAGGUGCGAAAGCGUGGGGAGCAAACAGG